UUACUAAUGAAAACAUUAACCGUUAGCUUUGCCAUUUGAGUAGAGAUAUUAACUCUAACAGGAUCCACUAGCUUGCCCUCCUGCCGGACAAUAUAAAAGAGGAAUAUAGUUAAGGGCAGCACGAAGGAACACAUAACCCAUGAUUAACUACAUUUAUAAAUAUCAUAUGACAAGUGAAUGUGGCUCAGGUGUUUACUACAAUAUAAUAUAUUUAGGAUGAACAUAACAAGAAAUCCACAAGGUUCCUUGCUAACUGAUAGACAGUGAUUUAACUAAUAAGUGAUAACUAGGGAAAAAAAAGAAGUAAUAACUAGGAAUUGAUAAGUGCCAAAAGUACUGAAUACUUGUACCAUAGGCGGCACAUGGCAUCUGUUUUGCACUUCAAGACCAAUAUUAGACUGCCUGACUUGUCGUCCACGACUGAGUGCCUGUAGCUUGACAAUACCCAACAUACUGCCUAGUGUAGCAACAGCUUGUCUCCUGACCAAGUGCCC
rnacentral:lncRNA from 1 species